AACGUGCCCAGAUCUACGGAAUAGCCACUGGAAACGGUGAGUAAUACCGUAUACGCCCUUCGGGGGAAAGAUUUAUCGGAUUUGGAUCGGCCCGCGUUAGAUUAGGUAGUUGGUGGGGUAACGGCCUACCAAGCCUACGAUCUAUAGCUGGUUUUAGAGGAUGAUCAGCAACACUGGGACUGAGACACGGCCCAGACUCCUACGGGAGGCAGCAGUGGGGAAUCUUGGACAAUGGGGGCAACCCUGAUCCAGCCAUGCCGCGUGAGUGAAGAAGGCCCUAGGGUCGUAAAACUCUUUCGCCUGUGAUGAUAAUGACAGUAGCACGUAAAGAAACCCCGGCUAACUCCGUGCCAGCAGCCGCGGUAAUACGGAGGGGGUUAGCGU
rnacentral:rRNA from 1 species